UCUUAUAAAUUACCUCACAUCCGCCGCAGGAGCCACCAAAAGCUCCCAUUUCCCCUUCCCAUUCACACGAUCACAUCCCAUCUGUUUCUUGUUUUUGUUUGAAGAAAACCUCAGAGAUGAUCGGAAUGCAGUGCUUCUCCAUUCGAUCAAAGCUUUGCAUGUCCAUCUUUUACACCAUCGCCUCUGUUUAUUUAUUUUUCCAAUGAAUUAUUUUCUAACUCUUGAGUCAUUUUCUCUAUUCAGAUUUUAGAUUUUUCUAGUUUUAUUUUAUCUUCAAAAGAAAACCACAAUCAAUGUUUUAUUUUCUAACUCUUGAAAUGAAAACGCUGUGUACUAUUCCUGAGUCACUAAAUUUCUCUGAACUAUGCUAAAUAAGGAGGGAAACUGUGGCUGUUGGUUUUAAAACUUAAUACUUUAGGUGUUGAAGAGUUUGUUGAAAUCUGGUUUCCAUGUGACUGCAAUUAGACCCUCAACAGUGCCACCCAACUCAUUCAGAUUCAAAUGCAUCAUUACCAGAGGGAAUAAAUCCAAUUGACGUAGCAGCUCUAAUCAAAUGUUAUCUAGCUACACUUCCCGAGCCACUAACCACAUUUGAGCUUUAUAAUGAGAUCAAAGGCGCUCGUUCCAGCAUACAUGCGAUGAGAAACAUGCUGAGGAGGCUUCCAACUGUAAACUACACGACCCUAGAAUUUAUUACUGCACUACUGCUCCGCGUUAGCCAGAAGUCGGUUCUUAACAA